rnacentral:rRNA from 1 species
CUCAAACAUUUAGACAGCCCUAGAAUAUUAAUACAAAACGUUAUUUUAACCAACAAACUAAAUCAUUCUUUUACCUGAGUAUGGGAGACAGAAAAGGUUAAGCCUGGAGCCAUAGAAAAAGUACCGCAAGGGAAAGCUGAAAGAGAAAUGAAACAACCCAUUAAAGCAGAAAAAACCAAAGACUAAACCCU